UGGACGCAAGUCUGAUGGAGCACGCCGCGUGAGUGAAGAAGGCUUUCGGGUCGUAAAACUCUGUUGUUGGAGAAGAAUGGUCGGCAGAGUAACUGUUGUCGGCGUGACGGUAUCCAACCAGAAAGCCACGGCUAACUACGUGCCAGCAGCCGCCGGUAAUACGUAGGUGGCAAGCGUUAUCCGGAUUUAUUGGGCGUAAAGCGAGCGCAGGCGGUUUUUUAAGUCUGAUGUGAAAGCCCUCGGCUUAACCGAGGAAGUGCAUCGGAAACUGGGAAACUUGAGUGCAGAAGAGGACAGUGGAACUCCAUGUGUAGCGGUGAAAUGCGUAGAUAUAUGGAAGAACACCAGUGGCGAAGGCGGCUGUCUGGUCUGUAACUGACGCUGAGGCUCGAAAGCAUGGGUAGCGAACAGGAUUAGAUACCCUGGUAGUCCAUGCCGUAAACGAUGAAUGCUAGGUGUUGGAGGGUUUCCGCCCUUCAGUGCUGCAGCUAACGCAUUAAGCAUUCCGCCUGGGGAGUACGACCGCAAGGUUGAAACUCAAAGGAAUUGACGGGGGCCCGCACAAGCGGUGGAGCAUGUGGUUUAAUUCGAAGCAACGCGAGGAACCUUACCAGGUCUUGACAUCUUUUGAUCACCUGAGAGAUCAGGUUUCCCCUUCGGG
rnacentral:rRNA from 2 species